GCAAUGACUUUCUUGUUUUCAAGAGAGUUGUGGCGAUGAUGGUCAGGAAAAAACAUUUGACCGAAUCGGGAUGGGAAAAGAUUCUUAAACUCGCAAGUUUAACGAAUCGGAAGAAAGUACGUUUCUAGAAUCCUCAGAGACUAUACGCCAAACCCGUUGCACGCAACGGUGAAGAUAUAGUCCGAACUGCAUAGCGAUAUGCAG
rnacentral:autocatalytically_spliced_intron from 1 species